UUUCCGUAGGUGAACCUGCGGAAGGAUCAUUACUGAGGUAUGCUCGGUGUCGCGUCAGCGCGCCGGUUACCCGUCCUUAUGUCAUCUGCGCUGGAUCUCCGCUGCCUUCGGGUGGGCGGGGAGUCAGGAACAUCAUUUCGGUCGAGGUGUUGUGUCUCGUCUGCAACUUUGCAGGAGGGAUAUGACCGCGACCGGUCGUAUUUUACGCUCUUUUGAGAACAUGAAGUCUGAAAACAAAACAAAAAUUGAAGCAAAACUUUCAACAACGGAUCUCUUGGCUCUGGCAUCGAUGAAGAACGCAGC
rnacentral:misc_RNA from 1 species